rnacentral:rRNA from 1 species
UACAGGGGGGGCAAGCGUUGUUCGGAAUUACUGGGCGUAAAGGGCCCGUAGGCGGCCAACUAAGUCCGACGUGAAAUCCCAAGGCUUAACCUUGGAACUGCGUCGGAUACUGGAUGGCUUGAAUUCGGGAGAGGGAUGCAGAAUUCCAGGUGUAGCGGUGAAAUGCGUAGAUAUCUGGAGGAAUACCGGUGGCGAAGGCGGCAUCCUGGACCGACAUUGACGCUGAGCGGCGAAAGCUAGGGGAGCAAACGGG